GCCAGGUGUGAUUGUGUACACCUGUAGUCCCAGCUACCAGGAGGCUGAGGCGGGAGGAUCGCUUGAGCCCAGGAGUUCGAGGCUGCAGUAAGCCAUGAUUGUGCCACUGUAUUCCAGCCUAGGCAACAGAGCGAGAUCCUGUCUCUA
ensembl:misc_RNA Metazoa_SRP Metazoan signal recognition particle RNA